AACGGCGUAAGGUGCCUAAAGCUGCAGAAGGAAGGCAGUGGAUGUUUUGGUCGUUCCCGUCUGUGUUACCUCCUCAACACCCCCAAACCCCGAAGACUGCACGCGACACACGAAUUGAUUGGUUUUCUGAGGUAUAGAUUCAAUGGCUACCGGCACUGUUAAAUGGUUCAACGAGUCCAAGGGUUUUGGCUUCAUUACUCAGGACGACGGCGGCGCAGACGUAUUCGUACAUUUCAGCGCGAUUCAGGGCACCGGUUUCAAGACGCUGCAGGAAGGUCAGAAAGUGACCUAUGAAAUCCAGCAAGGUCCGAAAGGUCCUCAAGCGGCUAACGUUACCCCUGGCUGAUCACCCUCUGGUGAUACGCUGACAAAAAACCCCACCCCCGGUGGGGUUUUUUGU
rnacentral:other from 1 species